UACGUAGGGUGCAGGCGUUAAUCGGAUUUACUGGGCGUAAAGCGUGCGUAGGCGGUUCAUUAAGUCGGUUGUGAAAUCCCUGGGCUUAACCUGGGAACUGCAGUCGAUACUGGUGGACUAGAGUACGGUAGAGGGUGGCGGAACUCCGGGUGUAGCGGUGAAAUGCGUAGAUAUCCGGAAGAACACCGAUGGCGAAGGCAACCACCUGGGCCCUGUACGUGACGCUGAGGUACGAAAGCGUGGGGAGC
rnacentral:rRNA from 1 species